rnacentral:rRNA from 1 species
UACGGAGGAUCCUAGUGUUAUCCGGAUUUAUUGGGUUUAAAGGGAGCGUAGGCGGGAGGUCAAGUCAGCUGUGAAAUGUAUCUGCUUAACGGGUACACUGCAGUUGAAACUGGUUUUCUUGAGUGCGUAAGAGGCAGGCGGAAUUCGUUGUGUAGCGGUGAAAUGCUUAGAUAUGACGAGGAACUCCUAUUGCGAAGGCAGCUUGCUGGGUCGUUACUGACGCUGAUGCUCGAAGGUGCGGGGAUCAAACAGGAUUAGAUACC